rnacentral:lncRNA from 1 species
AUUUGUAAUAACCUAGAAAUUAUAUAAAUAAAAAGAUAAAAUACUUCAUAAUCAUUACUGUCCAAUAAGCCAAUAAUAAACAUAAUAGCAAAAAAUUUUAACGCAAUCUCAUAAGUUUUACAGUUCAACACUUCAAAAGUUAAAGUUUCAAAAGUUGAUAACAAAAGAUUCCUAGAAUAUCGACGACAAUUCAAAGUACUUCUUAAGUAAGGUCUAGAUCUUCACUAUCUCCAUCUUCCCUUUAUUCCGUUACUCCACCUACAAAAGAGGAUAAAUAAAGUCAUCAUCCUUCAAAGGUUGGUUUACCAUUAUAAGAAUAGAUAUAGUCGAUGAACAAUGCAUAAAGCACAAAGUUUCCAGGAGAAAAAAAUAAGUUCACACAAAUGAAGAAUCCAAAGUUCAGUAACAAAUCAAAAUCAGCAAAACCAAACUUGUAAGAAUAUGCAUUCAGGCAAAUUGAGAGUUGUGUAGCCAACCAAACUAACAGUUUUCAACUUUUUGUUUUUUUGCAUGUAACAAUCUAGAAAAUAAUAGGUUGCUCUGGUGAGCACCCUCCACUUCCAACCAAGAUGUUGUGAGUUCGAGUCACCCCAAGAGCAAGGUGGGGAGUUCUUAGAGGAAGGGAGUCGAGGAUCUGUCGGAAACAGCCUCUCUACCCCAGGGUAAGGAAAAGGUCUGCGUACACACUACCCUCCCCAGACCCCACUAGUGGAAUUAUACUAGGUUGUUCUUGUUGUUAUUGCAUGUAGCAAUCUAAAGUGGAUACAUUCCAUGCGAAGCAUAGCAAAAACAAUCAAGAAAAAUACAUAUCGAAACAUAAUUUUUGCAAUAUUGACUUUUAAAAAAUAUUGCAACAUAGCUCAUAUCAGACUAACAAUGGACAACACGAAAAUGAAAGCUCAAUAUUAUCUAUUUGCCCAAAAGAAUUAUGAUAAUACUGGAAAGGGCACACUUUUUAACAAGCAUUAUCACUUCAACCAAACAUGAAUGAUCCAUUCAGACAUAUUUUGGAUUCUUGAACUUGUUCCACUUAACUGGGAGUAAAGAACAGGUAUAGCUAUAUAAGGUAGUAAAUUAUUUCAUUGUGCUAACAAUUUGCAAUUAGAUGGACAAACACAGUAUUCAUUCAUUAUCUUCCACGACUACAGCUUGCUAUGGACUUACAUUUUCAUCCAGCAACAAAAAAUAUUGUUGUGAUAUCAACCUACUGUAGUUGGGAUUAAGCCAAAUGAACAUAAGAGCAGCUUAUCUGUCAACUUCAACCCAUAAUUUCCAAACAUAAUACCUAAAGGUCACAAAAAUGCCAAAUUAAGGGAAUACAAACAGCAUAAAAUAACAUUUUAAUGAAAAAGGUGGCACAAGAACCAUACUUAGACUAACUCAAUAACAUUAGAAAAUGUUUCAGCUUUUAGCAGCUUUGCAGAAACAUAUGCAUUGAGUUAUUAGCAACUUUGCAGACCAAAUUCUCACCCAAAAUAAUAUAGAGAGCAGCUUCCAGUACAGGAAACCUAGAACCAUAUGCAUUCAGUAAAUAUCUUUCUUGGUACAAGUAAAUAGGCAAGAUUAUAAUAUCCAAACAAUACACAAAGUACUAUACAACAACAAAGAGCCGUCAAGGCAACCAAAAAAUUAUGCAACGACAAAGGUCUGGAGGCGAAGUUAAAAAAUGACUAGACUAACCAGAAUUAGCCGUCUUACUAACUUCCCUCUAAAAAAAAAUAGAACAGAGAGAGAGUAGUGGUAGAAAAGCAACAGAAGGAGGAGAAGAAGAAGAAGAAUAUGGAGAAGGAAGAAAGAAAGAAAAGAAGGGGUGUAACCAAAAAAAAAUACAACCAUGUUCUGACAAAACAAAAGUUAAAAUAAAUACUGAAAACUUGGCAAAGAGUAAACUUAUAUAAAGCUAAUAAGACCAUCAAAAAGCAGACAUCUUUAGGUAAAACUGACAUACCUUUUACCAAAAAAAGCCAAUUUCUUCAACAAAACUCUACCCACCCCACCCCCAUAUUUCCCUACAUAAUAGAAACUAAAAAUAAACACCUAAACAUCUGGUAAAAAUAAAGCUAAUAAGACCAUAAAAAUCUGAUUUUGCCGCUUCAAAAAUAACCCCCUAAAAAUAAGUAAUACAACAAAGUCUAGCCCCUUAAAUUUUCCGUUCCUCUUUUCUUGAAUAAUAUUACAGUCAAAGCAAGAAAUUAAAUACAUUGCUCACACCCUAAAGAUUAAAGGAAAAAUAAUGAUUAAAUAAGAAAAUACCCAAAUUAGAAAAGCAAAACUUACACCUAAAGUUAGUUUCUCACAGAGUGCCUUUAGGGUGGAACAUUUCUCGUGAUUGAAGUAGUUUUAUCACCUUUAAUCGUGCCUUUUAGAUUUUUCCUUUGUUCUUCUUUGAUGCCUUCUCUUCAUCGAAUAACAGAAAAGGAUUGAGACUUUGGGGAUUUGGAGAUUUUAGGUUAGGCCAGCGAUUUGAUUUGGGAAUUAGGGAUGUAGGGUUAGCCAUAGAUGGAAUUCUCAAGGUGAAAGGAAAGGGCAAUGAAAGGGGUAUUGAGAGAUUUGGAGGUAUCGAUGCCUUUGAGUUCAAGGGGGAGAUGAAUGGGUUUAUUGGGAGAUAGCUUUAGAGUUGUCG